rnacentral:rRNA from 1 species
UACGUAGGGUGCGAGCGUUAAUCGGAAUUACUGGGCGUAAAGCGUGCGCAGGCGGUUCGUUGUGUCGGCGGUGAAAGCCCCGGGCUUAACCCUGGGGAACGGCCGUUGAAACUGGCGAACUGGAGUGUGGCAGAGGGGGGUGGAAUUCCGCGGUGUAGCAGUGAAAUGCGUAGAGAUGCGGAGGAACACCGAUGGCGAAGGCAGCCCCCUGGGCUACACUGGACGCCUCAGGCAACCGAAAGCGUGGGGAGCAACAGGAUAGAAACCCUCGUAGUCCAAGACCGAAUGUACCAGUCUCGCUGCCUCACGAAUACACCUCA